UGACUUUGGUAUCUAUGCUCAACAGUGUAUUCUUUCUGGGGUGUUCCAAGGUCAGCACCACAGAAAAUCAGCAUCUGGUUUGGUUGGCUUUCUUGGUUUUGUGAAUGUUAAACCUGGCUUUUCUGUUGAUACAGUA
rnacentral:snoRNA from 1 species